rnacentral:lncRNA from 1 species
CAGGAACUUCGGAACGCAGUGUGCAAAGUCAUGCUGUGAACACACGUGAAUGUACCACAGCGAACCCACCUUUAUGUGUGUCUACAGAAUAAGUGAAUGGAAAGAAGACAGAAGAGUAGAGAGGGGCAGACAGGCAGAAGGACGAGGGAGGAAGGAGGAAGCACUGGGGACUUAAAUGGAGCAAACCAUCCACGCGUGUGUGGUCAUGUCAAAAUGAACCCGUCAUGUUACGUGUGACUAUGUUGCCUGAUCACAUUCGAGUUGCGGCCAACGAUCGUGGAAAGACCCCCAGCUUGCUUGUCACUAGGGGAAUGCAAAUGAAACCACCAGGAGAUCCACUUCACACCUUCUGCGAUGGGCAGACCCAGACAGAGUUUGGCAAGUGCCGGCGGGGACAUGGAGAAAUCGACACCCUGCACAUUCCUGGUAGGAGUGUCGAGUGCUGCAACCCAAAUGGAAAGCCGUCCAGUGGUUCCUCAAUAUAAAUAUAAAAUUACUUUUGUGACUCAGCAAUUCCACUCCAUGGUACCUACACCAAAGAAUUGGAAAAAACAAAAUACUUGUCCGUGAGUGUUCAUAGCCGCAGUAUUCAUCAGAGCCCAAAGCUGGAAGGAACCCCAAUGUCUGGAUAAGUGGAAAGACAAAUACUGGUAUGUAAUAAUGGAAUACUGUUUAGCCAUGAAAAGGAAUAAAGUAGGGAUACUUAAAUGUGGAUGAAUCUCAACAGCAUUAAGCUAAAUGAAAGAAACUAGUCACGUAUGGAUGACUUCAUUCAUAUGAAGUAUCCAGAACAGAGAAAUCCAUAGAUAUGGAAGGCAGAUUAAUUGUUGCCCACCAGUAGGAGGAGGGGAGACUGGGGAACAGCUGCUUGCUGAGCACAGGGUUCCUGUAUUAGUCAGUGGUCCAUCACUAUAACAAAAUAUCUGAGAUAAUUAACUUAUGAAGAGAAAAGGUUUAUUUUGGCUCUUGGUUGUAGAGGUUCCAGUCUAGGAUGGGAUGGGCCCAUGACUUUUAGGCCUCUGUUGGGUUGCCCGUGAGCAAUGGUGGGGAGUGUUUCGUGGGCCUGACCUCAUGGUCAGGAUGCAAAGGAGGAGGAUGAGGCUGGGGUCCCCAGAUCCUCUUCAAGGUCAUGCCCCCAGUGACCUCAGUACUUCCCACAAGGCCCCUCUACCUUUAGGCCCACAGUGACCCCCAAAGGAGCCACCCUGGGGACCAAGCCUGUUGCACAUGGGCCUUCGGGGGACACUCACAGUCAAACGGAAGCAGCUUCCUUGGGUGAUGAGAAACGUCCUGGAACCAGGUAGAGUGGUGGGCGACACUGUGGGUGUGCUAAAUGCCAUCUGGAACCCUGACUUCCACUGUGGCCCAGGCACGUAUAAAAUCCAGGUAGCGCCUGGGCACUGGGCUCCCAGCGGGCGACUCGGGGCUGCUGUGGUGGGUAAAGAUGGGGCUCUCCUCUGGCCUCCUACAGCUCAGGAAUAAUGGUUUGGGGGACAGAGUAGGGUAGUGGCCAAACUCCCCCCGGGAGCUGCCUUGGGAAUCACAGAAGAGCAAGAACCCCAGGGUGACAGGAAGGGUGAGCCACGCACAACUCCUCCCCUGCCACCCCACCCCACACCACCUCCUGUCCAGCAUCCUGGCCCGCAACCUGGAGGUGACCCUGGAUGGUGGCAUGUCCGCCAGCUCCUCCCCUCCCGGCAGGCCCCUGGAGGGCCAGUCGGGCUGUACGUGGCUCCCAGUCCUGGAGGAAGCUCAGGGACAGCUCAGGUGUGGCGAGUGGGUCUUCCUGGGCUAGAUAGUGGGCAGCUCACCCGAGGGCACAGUCUGGUCUCUCCUGCCACUGACAGAUGUGCUGUGCCUUCUGUGCACGGUGCCAUACUGGCCCAGGAGGCUGUGACCAACCACUGGCCCCUGUGGCCCCUGACCUACCUGAUGCCUGACCCCCCUCCCCACCCCAAGCUACAGCCUCCUCAAUCCUCUUCUGUGCCUCGGGGGCUCCUCUGUCCUCCAUCCACACUCCCCUGAGUUGGGGGGCAGCCACUGACAUACCUGAGCUCAGGUGGGCAGUCUAAUUUGGCUGAGAGUGGCCUGGGAGGGACACGCGUGGGACAGGUGGUGGAGGGCAGAGCAGGGGCCCCUGGCUUGUGUAGUCCACCAGAUCCGGAGAACCAGGGUGCCCAGUGUAUGGUCCCUGCACCACCCAGGGAGGGCCCAACAGGCUCCUGCAGGGGAGGUGAGAUUGGACUCCUUGUCCUUGCCUCAGGAGGUCGCAGGACCCCCCAGCCAGGGACUCCUCCCUCCUCUGGACAGGUCCACCCUCCCCCAAGGGCAGCCACUCGUAUCUUUGUAAGCACAACCCUCAGCUCUGGCCCCAUCUGGAACAAGGACAGAGAAGUGGAUUCAUGAAGGACUUGUAUAAACCUCGGGGACGGGAGAAGCCCUUCCCCUCCUCACAGCCUCAGAGAAACCUCUCUGGACAGAAGUGGCUCUCCAGGGUUGUGCUGAGGGCCCUCGAUCCUGACAUUACCAGCAAAGAGCAACCCCACCCCACCCCCC